rnacentral:tRNA from 1 species
CGAGUAGUAGCGCAAUCUGGCUAGCGCACGUGCUUUGGGAGCAUGGGGUUGGGGGUUCAAGUCCCUCCUACUCGA